AGUGAACGCUGGCGGUAGGCCUAACACAUGCCAGUCGAACGGCAGCACAGUAAGAGCUUGCUCUUACGGGUGGCGAGUGGCGGACGGGUGAGGAAUACAUCGGAAUCUACUUUUUCGUGGGGGAUAACGUAGGGAAACUUACGCUAAUACCGCAUACGACCUACGGGUGAAAGCAGGGGAUCUUCGGACCUUGCGCGAUUGAAUGAGCCGAUGUCGGAUUAGCUAGUUGGCGGGGUAAAGGCCCACCAAGGCGACGAUCCGUAGCUGGUCUGAGAGGAUGAUCAGCCACACUGGAACUGAGACACGGUCCAGACUCCUACGGGAGGCAGCAGUGGGGAAUAUUGGACAAUGGGAGCAAGCCUGAUCCAGCCAUACCGCGUGGGUGAAGAAGGCCUUCGGGUUGUAAAGCCCUUUUGUUGGGAAAGAAAAGCAGCAGGUUAAUACCCCGCUGUUCUGUCGGUACCCAAAGAAUAAGCACCGGCUAACUUCGUG
rnacentral:rRNA from 1 species